rnacentral:rRNA from 1 species
GGGUUGUGAGGUUAAGCGACUAAGCGUACACGGUGGAUGCCCUGGCAGUCAGAGGCGAUGAAGGACGUGCUAAUCUGCGAUAAGCGCCGGUAAGGUGAUAUGAACCGUUAUAACCGGCGAUUUCCGAAUGGGGAAACCCAGUGUGAUUCGUCACACUAUCAUUAACUGAAUCCAUAGGUUAAUGAGGCGAACCGGGGGAACUGAAACAUCUAAGUACCCCGAGGAAAAGAAAUCAACCGAGAUUCCCCCAGUAGCGGCGAGCGAACGGGGAGGAGCCCAGAGCCUGAAUCAGCAUGUGUGUUAGUGGAAGCGUCUGGAAAGGCGCGCGAUACAGGGUGACAGCCCCGUACACAAAAGCGCAUGUGCUGUGAGCUCGAUGAGUAGGGCGGGACACGUGGUAUCCUGUCUGAAUAUGGGGGGACCAUCCUCCAAGGCUAAAUACUCCUGACUGACCGAUAGUGAACCAGUACCGUGAGGGAAAGGCGAAAAGAACCCCGGCGAGGGGAGUGAAAAAGAACCUGAAACCGUGUACGUACAAGCAGUGGGAGCACCCUUUGGGGUGUGACUGCGUACCUUUUGUAUAAUGGGUCAGCGACUUAUAUUCUGUAGCAAGGUUAACCGUAUAGGGGAGCCGGAGGGAAACCGAGUCUUAAUUGGGCGUUAAGUUGCAGGGUAUAGACCCGAAACCCGGUGAUCUAGCCAUGGGCAGGUUGAAGGUUGGGUAACACUAACUGGAGGACCGAACCGACUAAUGUUGAAAAAUUAGCGGAUGACCUGUGGCUGGGGGUGAAAGGCCAAUCAAACCGGGAGAUAGCUGGUUCUCCCCGAAAGCUAUUUAGGUAGCGCCUCGUGAAUUCAUCUCCGGGGGUAGAGCACUGUUUCGGCUAGGGGGCCAUCCCGGCUUACCAACCCGAUGCAAACUGCGAAUACCGGAGAAUGUUAUCACGGGAGACACACGGCGGGUGCUAACGUCCGUCGUGAAGAGGGAAACAACCCAGACCGCCAGCUAAGGUCCCAAAGUCAUGGUUAAGUGGGAAACGAUGUGGGAAGGCCCAGACAGCCAGGAUGUUGGCUUAGAAGCAGCCAUCAUUUAAAGAAAGCGUAAUAGCUCACUGGUCGAGUCGGCCUGCGCGGAAGAUGUAACGGGGCUAAACCAUGCACCGAAGCUGCGGCAGCGACGCUUAUGCGUUGUUGGGUAGGGGAGCGUUCUGUAAGCCUGUGAAGGUGGCCUGUGAGGGUUGCUGGAGGUAUCAGAAGUGCGAAUGCUGACAUAAGUAACGAUAAAGCGGGUGAAAAGCCCGCUCGCCGGAAGACCAAGGGUUCCUGUCCAACGUUAAUCGGGGCAGGGUGAGUCGACCCCUAAGGCGAGGCCGAAAGGCGUAGUCGAUGGGAAACGGGUUAAUAUUCCCGUACUUGGUGUUACUGCGAAGGGGGGACGGAGAAGGCUAUGUUGGCCGGGCGACGGUUGUCCCGGUUUAAGCGUGUAGGCUGGUUUUCCAGGCAAAUCCGGAAAAUCAAGGCUGAGGCGUGACGACGAGGCACUACGGUGCUGAAGCAACAAAUGCCCUGCUUCCAGGAAAAGCCUCUAAGCAUCAGGUAACAUCAAAUCGUACCCCAAACCGACACAGGUGGUCAGGUAGAGAAUACCAAGGCGCUUGAGAGAACUCGGGUGAAGGAACUAGGCAAAAUGGUGCCGUAACUUCGGGAGAAGGCACGCUGACACGUAGGUGAAGUGAUUUACUCAUGGAGCUGAAGUCAGUCGAAGAUACCAGCUGGCUGCAACUGUUUAUUAAAAACACAGCACUGUGCAAACACGAAAGUGGACGUAUACGGUGUGACGCCUGCCCGGUGCCGGAAGGUUAAUUGAUGGGGUCAGCGCAAGCGAAGCUCCUGAUCGAAGCCCCGGUAAACGGCGGCCGUAACUAUAACGGUCCUAAGGUAGCGAAAUUCCUUGUCGGGUAAGUUCCGACCUGCACGAAUGGCGUAAUGAUGGCCAGGCUGUCUCCACCCGAGACUCAGUGAAAUUGAACUCGCUGUGAAGAUGCAGUGUACCCGCGGCAAGACGGAAAGACCCCGUGAACCUUUACUAUAGCUUGACACUGAACAUUGAGCCUUGAUGUGUAGGAUAGGUGGGAGGCUUUGAAGUGUGGACGCCAGUCUGCAUGGAGCCGACCUUGAAAUACCACCCUUUAAUGUUUGAUGUUCUAACGUGGACCCGUUACCCGGGUUGCGGACAGUGUCUGGUGGGUAGUUUGACUGGGGCGGUCUCCUCCUAAAGAGUAACGGAGGAGCACGAAGGUUGGCUAAUCCUGGUCGGACAUCAGGAGGUUAGUGCAAUGGCAUAAGCCAGCUUGACUGCGAGCGUGACGGCGCGAGCAGGUGCGAAAGCAGGUCAUAGUGAUCCGGUGGUUCUGAAUGGAAGGGCCAUCGCUCAACGGAUAAAAGGUACUCCGGGGAUAACAGGCUGAUACCGCCCAAGAGUUCAUAUCGACGGCGGUGUUUGGCACCUCGAUGUCGGCUCAUCACAUCCUGGGGCUGAAGUAGGUCCCAAGGGUAUGGCUGUUCGCCAUUUAAAGUGGUACGCGAGCUGGGUUUAGAACGUCGUGAGACAGUUCGGUCCCUAUCUGCCGUGGGCGCUGGAGAACUGAGGGGGGCUGCUCCUAGUACGAGAGGACCGGAGUGGACGCAUCACUGGUGUUCGGGUUGUCAUGCCAAUGGCACUGCCCGGUAGCUAAAUGCGGAAGAGAUAAGUGCUGAAAGCAUCUAAGCACGAAACUUGCCCCGA